rnacentral:misc_RNA from 1 species
UUAAGUUCAGCGGGUAUCCCUACCUGAUCCGAGGUCAACCUUAAGAUAGGUGUGAGCAAGUCACUACAGCGCCCAGAAGCAAGAAAGUUUACUAUGCUUAGGGUCUUGUUUAGACUGCUAUUGUCUUUGAGAGCCGUACUCGUACGGGCUCCAAUGCCAAGCAGAGCUUGAUUGGUAAAAUGACGCUCGAACAGGCAUGC